CUCCAAUGUAACCAAGGAACCAUCUCGGACCGCACCACCACCACACCCGUGGCCAGCUACCAUAGCUGGUCCACCUCCCUCUGCCUCCACCUGAUCAAUUCCUUUUCCAGGACCAUGCCAAUAUCCAGAAUGUCCUGGACAGUACCCCUUGUUACCUCCCGGAAAAAUUUCUCCCCUAAUGUCUUGCCACCAAAAUCCCCGAAAAACAAAACCACUCCUGCUCCACCAAUUUCAAAGGAAAGCCCAGUUACGUUUGAACUGAAACGCGGCUCCCAUCUGUGCCCCUUAGAUAUAAGAAUGACCCUUCAACCAUGUCACCAAACCUGAAACGAAAGUAAUUAGCGACAAGCCAUAGCCAUUAAACCAAAUAGAC